rnacentral:ncRNA from 1 species
CUAGAGUGGCCGGGCCGUGGUGUUCGGGAAGACCGGUGACGGACCUUGUGGUCCCAGGCCGGAGCGGCCCUCGCCACUGUGAUCGGGGAGUUUCCAGCCCUUUUCCGUACGCGCCCGCGCGUACGGCGCCACUGACCGCAGCCUGCGGCCGGGAAGGCGAGGGCGGACGCGUGUACCCGUAAGCCAGGAGACCGGCCACGGCAUCUCACGAACU